AUGCUCGGUGUGGUGGACUGGAACAUGAAAUUUCUAUAUGUCUUACCUGGCUGGGAAGGUUCCGCUUCCGACUCAAGAGUCCUUCAUGACUCCAUGAGAACUGAUUGCUAAGAUGCAUUUGUUGUACCUCAUGGAAAAUAUUACUUGGAUGCUACUGGUUACACGAAUGGGCCUGGAUUUCUAGCUCCAUUCAGAUCCACUCGGUAUCACUUGAAAGAGUGGGCAUCAAGUCAACAACAACCCCAAACUGCCAAAGAGCUAUAUAACUUGCGCCACUCUCGUGCUAGAAAUGUAGUAGAGAUAACUUUUGGGUUGUGUAAGAAGAAGUGGGGUAUUCUUCGUACUCAAAGUUUCUUUGAUAUAAAGGAUCAGGUACAUGUGUCCAUUGGGUUUUCAAUAAGAUGCCUACCGGAAUGAGAAAUCAUUAAUGCUUAAUUAAAAAAACAUUCUUGCAGAUUCGAAUCAUUAAUGAUUUUUGUGUGUAACACAACUUUGCGAGGGAUAGGCAGCAUAUGA
rnacentral:rRNA from 1 species